rnacentral:sRNA from 1 species
AUUGGGCAUGGUAUCAUAUGCCUGUAGUCUAAGUUACUCGGGAGACUGAGGCAGAAAGAUCUCUUGAGCCCAGGAGUUUGAGUCCAGCUUGGGCAGCAUAGUAAGAUACUGUUUCAA